ensembl:lncRNA
AUACCAUUUGCUUUGCAGGUGUGCUAGUAGCUGUCCUCGUUCUUCAGUGGAACAAAAUGUUGCGCUGAACAGGAGGAAAUGCAGGAUAAUUUUAGAAGCUAAGAGGAUGUAUGAUUUUCUGGUUUUCUUUUUUUUGUGUCUGUGUCUAGAUUUUUUUCAGAAGAUGGGCUGAAGUUAGCAGGAAAAUGGGCACUGGGCGAGAAUGUGCAUAUUGAUCAUCAGUGUUUAACGCUCAAAAGGGCUGUUGAGCACAUGAAAGAAUGCAAUGCCAAGAAAACGCACCAAGCUUUGAUGGACACAUUGCAGAGUAUUUUCUCGGACACCUCAGAAGAUAUAGCAGUGAGAAAUGCCUGGAUGUGAGAGAAACUUGGCAUAUUUUCAUGUCUGCCUUGAAUAACCCAUCCUGCUGGGUUGCUCGCCUUUUGCCUACAAGUGGGUGUAGCUCACUGUGGUUUUGCAUGAGCGGUCAUGCAGGAAGAGGUGAGACCCACCAAACCACAGUUUGCCUCGCUCCCUGUGAGCAAUGCUGUUGAUAUAACGACCCAGCUCAGACAGGGAAGGAUUUCUAGUGGCUGCCACUGAUUUCCUACAGGAGGGCACUGUGGAAGGAAGGAGAGGUGGUACGCAUGGGGAAAGAUCAAAGUGCUUUCAGAGAUCUGCAGUAGUAUCGCAUUCUUCUUUCGAUUACGUGAGUGCAGCUGAAGACCUGGAGCAGCAGUGAUGAGGUGCAUGCACUGCAGCUACUCCCUUCCCUAUUCUCAUAGGAAGCUCCUGCGUUGAGGGAAGAAGUUCCCGGAGCUUUCUGUGCUGGUGAAAGAGGCAGCUGUGCUAAUUCUGAUACCGAGUAUUCUCUUACAAACUGAGAUGCUGCAAAACUCCUCAGAAGAGCAGAAAAGGAAGACUUACACCUCUGUCUGACACAGUUAAAAUCUCUCCCUGUGCACUUAUCAGCUUGCAUAUCUCUGUGAAACUCUGUGCUUCAGCGAGGGCUACAUCACUAGGCAACUACUGCAAAGAAACAUGAGUUCUACAGGAUUUCAGGGAAGAAUUCUUCCUCUACUUUUGUUCACUUCUGAGUUUGCUUCUUGGCACCCUCUUCCUUAAUGUGAGGUCAGCCAGAGUACUUUCACAGUUUUUCCUGUCUGUUUUGUCAUUUGUUUCUGUUUCGCAGGCUUACAGCUCCGAAGUUUUUCCAAGAGAGAAGAGAAACCAAACUGGAAGAUGAGAGCAUUGCACAGGCACCAAAUGCUGUUUCUGUUCAACCUUUGUUUCAUCGAGAAAACACCAAGAGACAGGAUAGAAGCAUGAAGGUGGUAAUUAACCACAUAGCUGAUUUUGGACUGUUACUAUGCUACCAGAAAAACAUGCUGGGAGAAGCCAUCAUCCACCGUGAAUGAGUUUUCUUGUAUAAGGAAUCCACUUGUUUAUGAGACUCACUUUAAACAAUAACAGAAUCACAAAAUCACAGAGUUGUAGGAGUUGGAAAGGACCUCUAGAAAUCAUCGAGUCCAACCUCUUCUGCUAAAGGAGUUCCCUGCAGCAGGUCACACAGGAAAGUGUCCAGGUUGGUUUUGAAUAUCUCCAGAGGAGACUCCACAACAUCUCUGGGCAGCCUGCUCCAAUGCUCUGCCACCCUCACAAUAAAGAAGUUCUUCCUCAUGUACGUAUGGAACUUCCUGUGUUCCAGUUUGUGCCUAUUUCUGUUGUCCUGUCACUGGGCUCUGCUGAAAGAGUCUGGCCACAUCCACUUGACUCCUGCCCUUUAGAUAUUUAUCAACAAUGAUGAGAUCCCUCUCAGUCUUCUCCAGAGGGAAUAGUCUCUCAGCCUUUCUUCAUAAGGGAGAUGCUCCAGGCCCCUAAUACUCUUUCUGGCCUUUCACUGGACUCUCUCAAGAAGAUCCUGUCUUUCUUGAGUGAGGAGCCCAGAACUGGAUGCAUACAGAGUGGCCUCACUGGGGCAAAGUAGCUGGGGAGGACCUCUUCCCUCAACCUGUUGUCCACACUUUUCAAUGAAACCCAACUUUUAGAGUCCAACUGGUCCCAGUAUUGUUCUGGUAAUGAGGAAGAGCUCCAGAGUGAAAAUGUUGGACUCUGAUUAUGCUUUGCUGUCAUUCAGCAGCACUCAUCCUUCCACCUCUGUCUUGAACAACUGUGUGACUGGUCUUUCCUUGCAGUAAUGAACUAGACAGUGUAUAACCAAGUAGUUAGCAAUACAGAUUUUGUUCUCAGAGUUUCUUUGAACUUUAGUUUCAACUAGACAAUCCCUGGCACCAAAUCCAAGAAAAGAAAAACAUGAGAAAAAUCGUGAUGUGUGGGGAUUGGUUAUAUAUUCAUAAAGCCACUAAUCAGUUUCUUUUCUCUCUCAUUUUUGUUAGGCUUUCUUUGUCUACUUUCAGGUCUUAUCUCCAUAUGAACACUGAUAGCAGAUAAAUCAAGACAACAGCUUCCUUCAUUUUUAGGAGUUUUGUUAAAAUUGACUUUCUCCCUCUGACAUGAAUAUCAGUUUAUAUCUCAAUCAAAUCUGGAAUUGUAGUUUAGAGAGAAAAUACAUAAAAUAUGUGUAGAAGAUUUUCCUAUGUCAUCCUUCUCACAGACACUUUCUGUUACUUUUAGAUUUAUUUCAGAUUAUUGUUUACUACGCAAUCAUUAAUAAUUUACAGAAGUAAAGGCUUUUGUUUGGUAGUGAUUUGUUAUAACUGGAAUAAUGAAAAUAAUUAUAUGUAUCUUAUCUCCAGUUCUUCAGUUUUGUAAAGUUCUGCUAAACUCAAGUGUUCAAGCUGUAAUAUAUCUCUUUUACUUUGGGUCUUACCAUUGAAUGACCUGACCUUUUAAUAAAGAUUUUUGUUUCCUAUGGUGCUUGAUUUCUUUGGCUAAGUAAUAAAAAGUGUGUGACACUUAAGAGCUUCCUACUUCCCUACUCUCUCUUAUAGUAGAG